rnacentral:ribozyme from 1 species
GGAGACGAAGAGGAAAAGGGAGACGAAGAGGAAAAGGGAGACGAAGAGGAAAAUGGAAAGGGAGAAGGAGAAGGAGAAGACGAGAAAGACAAAGAGGAAGACGAAGAGGAAGAGG